CCUACGGGAGGCCGCAGUGAGGAAUAUUGGUCAAUGGGCGGGAGCCUGAACCAGCCAAGCCGCGUGAGGGAAGAAGGUACAGCGUAUCGUAAACCUCUUUUGUCAGGGAACAAAGGCGGGGACUAGUCCCCGGAUGAGGGUACCUGAAGAAAAAGCAUCGGCUAACUCCGUGCCAGCAGCCGCGGUAAUACGGAGGAUGCGAGCGUUAUCCGGCUUUAUUGGGUUUAAAGGGUGCGCAGGCGGCCUGUUAAGUCAGCGGGAAAAGCCCGGGGCUCAACCCCGGCGAGCCGUUGAAACUGGCGGGCUGGAGUUGGAGAGAAGUACGCGGAAUGCGCGGUGUAGCGGUGAAAUGCUUAGAUAUCGCGCAGAACCCCGAUUGCGAAGGCAGCGUACCGGCUCCACACUGACGCUGAGGCACGAAAGCGUGGGUAUCGAACAGGAUUAGAUACCCGAGUAGUC
rnacentral:rRNA from 1 species